UGGCGGACGGGUGAAUAAUGUCUGGGAAACUGCCUGAUGGAGGGGGAUAACUACUGGAAACGGUAGCUAAUACCGCAUAACGUCGCAAGACCAAAGAGGGGACCUUCGGGCCUCUUGCCAUCGGAUGUGCCCAGAUGGGAUUAGCUAGUAGGUGGGGUAACGGCUCACCUAGGCGACGAUCCCUAGCUGGUCUGAGAGGAUGACCAGCCACACUGGAACUGAGACACGGUCCAG
rnacentral:rRNA from 1 species